UGGGGAAUUUUGGACAAUGGGCGAAAGCCUGAUCCAGCAAUGCCGCGUGUGUGAAGAAGGCCUUCGGGUUGUAAAGCACUUUUGUCCGGAAAGAAAUCCUUGGCUCUAAUACAGUCGGGGGAUGACGGUACCGGAAGAAUAAGCACCGGCUAACUACGUGCCAGCAGCCGCGGUAAUACGUAGGGUGCAAGCGUUAAUCGGAAUUACUGGGCGUAAAGCGUGCGCAGGCGGUUUGCUAAGACCGAUGUGAAAUCCCCGGGCUCAACCUGGGAACUGCAUUGGUGACUGGCAGGCUAGAGUAUGGCAGAGGGGGGUAGAAUUCCACGUGUAGCAGUGAAAUGCGUAGAGAUGUGGAGGAAUACCGAUGGCGAAGGCAGCCCCCUGGGCCAAUACUGACGCUCAUGCACGAAAGCGUGGGGAGCAAACAGGAUUAGAUACCCUGGUAGUCCACGCCCUAAACGAUGUCAACUAGUUGUUGGGGAUUCAUUUCCUUAGUAACGUAGCUAACGCGUGAAGUUGACCGCCUGGGGAGUACGGUCGCAAGAUUAAAACUUAAAUGAAUUGACGGGGUCCU
rnacentral:rRNA from 1 species